rnacentral:rRNA from 1 species
AACGCGAAGAACCUUACCUGGGCUCGAAGCACAGUGGACCGGGGUAGAAAUAUCCCUUUUCGCAAGAACUGCUGUGGAGGUGCUGCAUGGCUGUCGUCAGCUCGUGUCGUGAGAUGUUGGGUUAAGUCCCGCAACGAGCGCAACCCUUAUCGUUAGUUGCCAGCGGGUCAAGCCGGGCACUCUAGCGAAACCGCCUCGGAUAACGGGGAGGAAGGUGGGGAUGACGUCAAGUCCUCAUGGCCUUUAUGUCCAGGGCUACACACGUGCUACAAUGGCCGGUACAAACCGUCGCAAACCCGCGAGGGGGAGCUAAUCGGAGAAAGCCGGCCUCAGUUCGGAUUGGAGUCUGCAACUCGACUCCAUGAAGCUGGAAUCGCUAGUAAUCGCGGAUCAGCACGCCGCGGUGAAUACGUUCCCGGGCCUUGUA